rnacentral:rRNA from 1 species
CGGCGAGGGGAGUGAAAAAGAACCUGAAACCGUGUACGUACAAGCAGUGGGAGCACCCUUUGGGGUGUGACUGCGUACCUUUUGUAUAAUGGGUCAGCGACUUAUAUUCUGUAGCAAGGUUAACCGAAUAGGGGAGCCGGAGGGAAACCGAGUCUUAAUUGGGCGUUAAGUUGCAGGGUAUAGACCCGAAACCCGGUGAUCUAGCCAUGGGCAGGUUGAAGGUUGGGUAACACUAACUGGAGGACCGAACCGACUAAUGUUGAAAAAUUAGCGGAUGACCUGUGGCUGGGGGUGAAAGGCCAAUCAAACCGGGAGAUAGCUGGUUCUCCCCGAAAGCUAUUUAGGUAGCGCCUCGUGAAUUCAUCUCCGGGGGUAGAGCACUGUUUCGGCUAGGGGGCCAUCCCGGCUUACCAACCCGAUGCAAACUGCGAAUACCGGAGAAUGUUAUCACGGGAGACACACGGCGGGUGCUAACGUCCGUCGUGAAGAGGGAAACAACCCAGACCGCCAGCUAAGGUCCCAAAGUCAUGGUUAAGUGGGAAACGAUGUGGGAAGGCCCAGACAGCCAGGAUGUUGGCUUAGAAGCAGCCAUCAUUUAAAGAAAGCGUAAUAGCUCACUGGUCGAGUCGGCCUGCGCG